rnacentral:sRNA from 1 species
AGCUGUCUGAGCUGCCCGGGCAGCGGGGGAGCAGCGAGCGGGCUUCCGCGAGCCGGAGGAGGCACAGGCCUGUCCCGGGUCCCGGCAGGUCUGCGCGUCUGUUCCCAGCGCUCUGCGAGGCCUAAAAAGGAGGAGCAACCUGUCCAGAAUCCCUGCAGGACUGCCCAGUGGAUCAGAUGAGGUAUUGAACAUGUGAGCUGUCCUUACAGGAGCAGGACCCAGCACCCUGUCAGACACUUAAAAGAAGAGCUGAAGAUGGAAUCUCUUAUUGGCCAGGCUGGAGUACAGUGGCACAAUCACGGCUCACUGAAGCCUUGAGUUCCCAGGCCUCUAACCUCGGCCUCCCAAGGAACUGGACCACCUGGGACCGCAGAUGAGGAAGCUGAGUCACAGAAGAUUGAGUAGAUUGCCUAGUGUGUCUCACAGAAUGGAAGGGGAAAGAACCAGAAUAGAAGCCGUGGCAAUUUUAAGCUGUCAAGGAUGAAAGGUCUCGAACUGAAUGAUUACCAAUUUAGAUCUGGGGGCUCAAAAAAACAAAAUGUGAUGUCAAGAAAAAGUGAAAGAUUGUCUCCCAUGAAAGUGACAAGAGAUGAAACAUGCUGAAUGAGCCUAAAUGGACAUGAUGGAGAUAUGGAUGUGGAUUAAAACUGAGAGUGUUGGGAUAUAAGGAUAUAAUACUGAUUUAUGAAGGUGAACAGUCAAACGUCAGUGCAGGAUCUGAACUGCAGGGGGAAUAAGGGGCCUUGGUGGCUAAGGAAGGGAGGAGGGGAGAAAGAGGUGGUACUAGGGGAAGUAGCACAGAGGAAGAGGCAAUACUACCCGAGACUAGAUGCGGACCGUCUCUGGCAACCAGGAAAAGGCAAAUACAAAGAGAGGUCUGCUGGUCACAGCGGGGCACCUCGAGGAGAGGACGACUAGGAGCACACGGCCCGGAAAGGUCCAGGUCAGGGAAGGGGUACGCAGUGGACCGGGACUGGGGCGCGAGGGUGGACGCCGAAAGGCAUGGAGUCUGCAGGCCGCACUGUCCCGCCCCUGUCACUGCGGGCGAGGCCUGUAGCAAAGCCUGCUGGGA